AGAUUGAACGCUGGCGGCAUGCCUUACACAUGCAAGUCGAACGGUAGAGUAGCAAUACUCGAGAGUGGCGAACGGGUGAGUAAUAUAUCGGAACGUGCCCAGUCGUGGGGGAUAACGUAGAGAAAUUUACGCUAAUACCGCAUACGAUCUAAGGAUGAAAGCGGGGGAUUCGCAAGAACCUCGCGCGAUUGGAGCGGCUGAUAUCAGAUUAGGUUGUUGGUGAGGUAAAAGCUCACCAAGCCGACGAUCUGUAGCUGGUUUGAGAGAACGACCAGCCACACUGGGACUGAGACACGGCCCAGACUCCUACGGGAGGCAGCAGUGGGAAUUUUGGACAAUGGGCGAAAGCCUGAUCCAGCAAUGCCGCGUGCAGGAAGAAGGCCUUCGGGUUGUAAACGUGUCUUUUGUACGGUAACGUAAACGGUUACCUUUCGUAAAGUAAGGGACUUAAGUGACGGUACCGUAAGAAUAAGCACCGGCUAACUACGUGCCAGCA
rnacentral:rRNA from 1 species